UCCAAGCAAUAUCCUACAAGUG
rnacentral:siRNA from 1 species